rnacentral:rRNA from 1 species
GACGAACGCUGGCGGCGUGCUUAACACAUGCAAGUCGAACGGAAAGGCCCUGCUUUUGUGGGGUGCUCGAGUGGCGAACGGGUGAGUAACACGUGAGUAACCUGCACUUGACUUUGGGAUAACUUCAGGAAACUGGGGCUAAUACCGGAUAGGAGCUCCUGCUGCAUGGUGGGGGUUGGAAAGUUUCGGCGGUUGGGGAUGGACUCGCGGCUUAUCAGCCUGUUGGUGGGGUAGUGGCUUACCAAGGGUUUGACGGGUAGCCGGCCUGAGAGGGUGACCGGCCACAUUGGGACUGCGAUACGGCCCAGUCUCCUACGGGAGGCAGCAGUGGGGAAUAUUGCACAAUGGGCGGAAGCCUGAUGCGGCAACGCCGCGUGCGGGAUGACGGCCUUCGGGUUGUAAACCGCUUUCGCCUGUGACGAAGCGUGAGUGACGGUAAUGGGUAAAGAAGCACCGGCUAACUACGUG